GCCAAACAACUGCAAGGAGCUUGUGCCUGUGCUGGGCACCAGCCUGCUCAACCUUGUACAAACUGGUGUCUUUCUCCACACCAGAUCCCUCUGGGCCAAGGCAGGAGGUGAAUGCCCAGCUCCACAGCUGGAGAAAACGUGGUCUGCAACGCAGAACUGCAGGCACCAAGGGAGCAGUGCAACUGAGCAAGUUGAAGACUGAGAGUAAUCCUUCCAGGCACUAAGAGAAGACAGGAAAGGAACAAACAGACUCAAAGUCUCAGUCUGAACAAAGGCUCUCCCAAAUCAAAAAGUCACACGAUGGGAGGAGAGGAGAGAAGCUCAUAAUUUGAAAAAGGACAAGUGGCAAAGAGACUGGGACUUCGAAAUGUGGGGAUACACAGUACUUCUGGUGUGGUAUAAAUAAAUACCAAAGUCAA